CACACGCCCGUCACAUCACGAAAGCCAGUUGUACUAGAAGCCGGUAAUUCAACCGCAAGGAGAUAGCGUCCAAGGUAUGACUGGUGAUUGGGGUG
rnacentral:rRNA from 1 species